rnacentral:miRNA from 1 species
GUGAGAAUGGUAUUGAGAGAGAGGAUGAGAGGGAGGACUAACAAAAGUGGAAAUAAAAUCUUGAAAGUGAACAAUUUGAAAUAGAUUUCAGUUUUUAGUUUUUGUUUUCACUUGUGUUAUUCCUCUCCCUCUCAAUCCCAUCUUCAUUUUCAUUUUCACU